GGGGAAGUGGUAAUUAAAUGCAAUGAUCAACUAUGUGGAGGAGAUAUGUGAGAAAUGCCUUAGCAGAUGAUGAAGAAAGAGAUCAAAAGGCUCCGAGAAGCAGGAAUGCUACGGUGGAUAUGCAGUCAGCUCUCUGUAUCUGUGGGUUCAUUCAACCUCGGACUGAAAAUAUUCAGCAUUUGGGAAAAAAGUGGCAUCCCAUACUCAACAUGAUGUGAAUUGUCCCUUUGUCCAGUGGAUACACACUGUCAACACUUCCCUCCAGUUAGCCACUUCACCAUCUCGGUGAUCAGAUGGACUGUCGAGGUAUCGCAGUGCUUGUGUUCAAGGCACCCUCAUUUUACCUAAUAAUGGCCCCAAAGCACAAGAGUGGUGAUGCUGGUGAUUCAAAUAUGCCAAAGGGAAGCCGUAAAGUGCUUCCUUUAAGUGAAAAGAACCAGGGGUCCUGAUAAUUGACAGUGGAUCUCCAUGAAGUCAAGUAAUUACUUAAUAUAUCUAUUACCACUACCAAAUGUCCAACCUGCCAGCAACAGAAACCAACACUGAGCUCUUCAACAAACACAGUCCCCAGAGGAGACUAACCAGCCACUUGCUAGCAACUUGAUCACAUCAGAUUCCUUUCAAUCUGGAAAUGGCAGUAAUUGAUUUUGACUGGAAUUGACACAUAUUCCAGAGAUGGCUUUACCUUUCCUACCCACAGGGACUCAGGCAGCAUGACCACCUGUAAGCUUAUAGAUUAUAUGAUAAACUGACAUGGAAUCCUGCAUAACGUGACUGUGGACCACUGGCCCCAUUUUAUAGCAAAAGAAGGACAACAAUGGACAUAUGAUGAUAGGAUAACACCAUCCAGAAACUGCCUAUCUACUAGAGGUUUUUGACAGCACAGCUAAAGUGCCAGCCUGCAGGUGAUACUGUGUCCGGAAUUGGUGGGUUCUUGGUCUCACUGACUUCAAGAAUGAAGCCGCGGACCCUCACAGUCUUCAGGUAGCUGGGUAAGAAGCGGCAAGGCAAACAAAGGGUCCUGGUAAUUGAAAACAACUGAUGAGUCAAACCUAAGCAUUCGGCAUUGGGAGCACUGUCACUAAAACUGCAGCCUCAUUCAACAACACAUCCUUAUCGAGCACUUGCAGGUACUCCAUUGAAUGUUAGAAAUGCAUUGAUGAUGGAGACACAGCACCGGCUCAUGAGGACCUUCCAGCCUAGGCAGCAGGACUGGACAUACGCACUUUGGUAGAUUUAUUUUUAGAAAUUGGCUUAUGCAAGUGUGGGGCUGGCAAGUCUAACAACUGCAGGGCAGGUCAGGAGGCUGGAGACCCAGGGAAGAGUUGAUGCUGCAGUCUCUAGUCUGAAGGCAGUGCAGAGGCAGAAUUCCCUCUUUCUCGGAGGAUCUCAGGCUUUUUCUCCUAAGUCCUUCAACCAAGUGGAUGAGGCCACCCGCAUUAGAGAAGGGAAAGCUAGCUGAUAUGUUAUGAGGACAUUUGAGCAGCCCCAUGGAGAAGUCCACGUGGAAGGAACUGAGGCCUCUUGCUACCGUUAUGUGAGUGAGCCAUCUUGGAAGCAGAUCCUCCAGCCUGGUUGAUCCUUUGGAUGACUGCAGCCCCAGGUGCCAUCUUGACUACAACAUCAGGAAAGAUUCCAAAUUAGACUCCCCCAUCCCAGGCCUGGCCCAGAGAAAGAGAUGAAAGCUGACACGCAGCUCUCAGAAUCACCCUUGCUAUCAGGUUUGGCUUCUGGAGCUGAUGGGAAUCUGAGAGACGUCAGGGUAGAAGCCGCCUGUCUUGGUGAGCUUCCCGUGCUCAUCUGGCUUUGGGAAAGACUCUCAGCCUCAUUUGCUUAUCCUCCAUCACGGACCAAGCACUUGGUUUGGGAAUAAGGGGCCCUUGGCACUUACUGUUGUGUUCUUGGCCUUUGGGGCCUUGGCCAAGAGUCAGGUGGAAAGAGUUCCACCCUAACAUCUUCUCCUAUGCUUCCUCCCAGAGCAGGGGAUGGGAAAGUAUGGGGAGAAAAAGGCUCCUUAGGGAAUUACUUCAUGUUAAAAAAUAUUUACUAGGCACUUAACACGUACGCAGAAAUUUACCAGUGGCUGAAGUGGGUAAUAGGGAUGUAUCAAUUAACUAAUAAACUAAUUAAUUAGA
rnacentral:lncRNA from 1 species